GUCCCUUCGGAGACAUCCCAUAAAAAUUAGAAUAAUAAUAUUAGAGAAGAUUAAAAUGACUCAUACGCAAGAAUGACACGCAUAAAUUAAAAAAAUAUUUUAAUUUUU